CAUUUAAAGCUAAUCAGACAACGAUAAAGUGCUUUUUAUCGCUCAGGAACAGCAAGCGGCGGGCAUGAGCUAAUAUUUGAGUGAGUUCCACUGGGAUCCCCAAGCCUUAGCCAGGGGUUGCAUCGCAGCAGAAGAAAACCUCAUCUGAAGAACUUAGAUCUUUUAGAACGAGCAGCAAGCACUUGACCCUGGUGGGGAGACAUUAUCCUUGUGAAAUGCACAGCAAACAGGUUGCGUGCCGUGGCAUCGUCGGUGACAGGAAUCAUGAAACCAUUAGCCGCGCUGCUCAGGACGGGUGCACGGUGUGAGGUGCACCAGAAGUGCAGCCCAGCACUGCCCAUCUUUGGCCAAUGUAUCCACUGCAUCCCUCUCACUUCUGCUAGCUCCUCAUUUCCAGGAAAGGCAGACUCAGAAGGGGAGCUAGAGCUCACCGGGACCGAUCGAGCACUCUGUGUCACUCUCCCUGAUAAUUUCUGAUCUGUUUAUAAUUGCAGUAUGUGCCUGUGAAAGGCUACGGAUGUCCAAGUCUUUAGCUGGACUGUGAUAUUAAUAAUGCACCAGGGCCUCACCGUUCAUCCUCCUGCGGACCCGCUCCAGUGCCUGAUGCCCCUGAGUUGCUUAGCAAAGCUUGUGUGGAAUAGCCAGAGAAGCAAAUGCGUGACCCUGAAGGCAGGCACCACUCCAGACUCUAUUUUAAGUUUAGAACCUAGUCUUCUCAAAUUUUUGUGCUGCUCAUCAGUUCUGGUCACCUGUGGAUGGCUGACUCAAGAGGUACCACAAAACCAUAAAACCAAAAAAAAAAAUCACAAAACCACAGAGCCAGAGUCUUGACUUGGUUUCGAUCAUCAGAACUUUCUAGGCUCCCAUGCUACUGCGGCUCAUCCAAUCAGUGCUGACUAAGAUCAUGAAGGAUGCCUGGCAUUGUGAUCACAAGUUCUGUGGCUCUUCCGCCAGGUACUGAGUUGGAGAAAGAGAUGCAUGGAGUUCUUCCCUCUUCACAAAGAAGCCAGCCAGACACCAACAAGAACUCCCUUUGAGGGCCUUCAGUAGGAAAACAGGCACAACGGCAUCUCUAUCCUUUGUCCUUGGGAUCACUAAGACCAGGUCCUCUGACCUGAGAUAAGGAUAUAAGCUCUCAGUGAUGGUUCCUGCCUGCCUCCCCGGCUGCCUGCGGUCAUGCUCCUCAUAGUAGGCAUGGACUUACCCUCCAAAGCUGUAAUCCCUCCAUGAGUUCUUUUUUCUCUAAGCUACAUUGGCCGUGGUGCUUUGUCGUGACUGUAGAAAAGGAACUGAGACAAGGGGGAGGAUUAAGGUAGAUGGAUUAGUUAUGGAGGGCUAGACACACAAAAGAAGGAGUGACAAUAAAAACGGAGACUGAGGGACAUCCCAUUGUCGAGAGAAGGGCUGUACGCCAAAGAAUGCAGCAGCUUUGAGGGUGGAGCAUAAAAAUGGUUUCUACUCUGAAGCUUCCAGAGAAUGGAGAUCUGCUGAUACCUUGAGGUGACCUCAUAAGACCUAGUUUGGACUUCUGGGGCCCAGAGCUUAGAAUACUAUUAUUCGUGUUGUUUUGAACCCGUAAAAGUAACUUUUGUUUGCUUGAUGUAAUUGUCGUCUCUGAGGCCUUCUGCCUCCAUCUGCUUCUAGCC
rnacentral:sRNA from 1 species